ACCAUUCUCCUGCCUCAGCCUCCCCAGUAGCUGGGACUACAGGCACCCGCCACCACACCCGGCUACUUUUUUUGUAUUUUUUAUUAGAGACAGGGUUUCACCAUGUUAGCCAGGAUGGUCUUGAUCUCCUGACAGUCAGGAAAUGAUUACUGUAAUGUUAUAGUAUGGAUUGAUAUAUGGGUACAGCAAAUUUCCUUUUUCCCCAAAAAAUAUUCUCACUAGUCUUUUCAUCUGUCCCUCUGUAUAAGCUUCAUAAUCCAGAUUCUUUAGAACUUUAGAAUAAAAAAUUAUUUCCUUUGGGAUUGCAGUGACUUAUAGAUUAAAUGAGAAAUGACAGUUUUAGAAAAAUAAUGCUUUCCACUUAUGAACAUGUUCUCUCUUGUUAUUUAUUCAGUUCUUCUUUUAUGUUUUUCAGUGAAGGGGUGUGUGUGUGUGUGUGUGUGUGUGUGUGCGCGCGCGCGCGUGCGUGCGCGCGCAUGCGUGCACACGUGCAUGUGUGCGCUAUAGGUCUUGUCCAUCUUCCAACUGAAUUUUGGGGUAUACUAUUGAUUUUCUAUGUUGGUCUUCAUCUGGCCAUCUAAUUAUCUACAGCGCAUCUGCUUCCUUCCCACGUUCCCACCCAGGGCUUGAGUAGGAAUCUUUUGUUUCAGGAACUAGUGACCAUCAAGGAUACAACUUUCUAUUUCACCUACAAACAAUGGGCCAGCCUGAUGCCUGCUCAAAAGACCUUGUACAGAGAUGGUAUGGGAGAUACAGUUCUGUUGCUUCUCCAGAUGACGCCCUCUCUAGGACUUAGCCUUUGUACUUAGCUUCCUGGCUUCUUUCCUCUUAUAGGCUGAGGUAUCUCUCAUAAGCUCAUUUUCAGAAUUCCAUGAGCUGAGUUACCCAACUCACCCGCCUCAGGGACUGCUGGCCAGGGAGAGCCCUAGAUUCUCUGUAGUAUUGAAACAGAUGUCCCCAGUUCCCUAGUAGAGGCUCUGCUUUGGGCACAAUGGGAAAUGAAAAUUUUUUUGAUGCCCUAAUUGAGCCCUCUGUCCCUACACCAUCCCUGUUUUCUUGAGAUCUUAGCCUCCUACCAUGUGGGUGGGAUACUACCACUAUUUCAGCCCACACUCUCACAGGGCCAGAUGUGUUACGCUCCUUCCUGAGUAAGACAGUUGGGCUCCUUCUGUAGAGUGCUCCACUUUCCCUGAGAUCCCGCCUCACUUGUUCUCCGGGGUGUUCCAGUUCUUCCUCCACUUGCUAAAGGCAGAAGAUGGGCUGAAAAGAGUUCCAGAUAUCAAUUCUGGUUGACUCCCCACAUUUUCCUAUUCCUUUUUUUUCUCCUUGAGAAACAUUUUAUUCCCAAAACAAGUUCUGAUAUCUCUGCUGGAGCAAGGGGAAAUACCAUGGGGCCCAGAUCCCUGGGUGCUGCUUGGCAGAGAGGCCCUGAGAGGUGUCUGUUCUGGGGAGUGAGAGAACCUGUGAGCUUCCCUUCCUGCUUUUCCUCUUUGUUUUUGUGUUUGUCUGUUUGCUUGUUUUAAGAGAUAGGGUCACUGGGCACGGUGGCUCAUGCCUGUAAUCCCAGCACUUUGGAAGGCUGAGGUGGGUGCAUCACUUGAGGUCAGGAGUUUGAGACCAGCCUGGCCAACAUGGUGAAACCCGGUCUCUACUAAAAGUACAAAAAUUAGCUAGGUGUGGUGGCAGGCGCCUAUAAUCCCAGCUACAGGCCCUGGUGUGUGAUGUUCCUCUCCCUGUGUCCAUGUGUUCUCAUUGUUCAACUCUCACUUAUGAGUGAGAACAGGCGUGUUUGGUUUUCUGAUCUUGUGAUAGUUUGCUGAGAAUGAUGGUUUCCAGCUUCAUCCAUGUCCCUGUAAAGGACGUGAACUCAUCCUCUUUUAUGGCUGCAUAGUAUUCCAUGGUGUAUAUGUGCCACAUUUUCUUAAUCCAGUCUAUCAUUGAUGGACAUUUGGGUUGGUGCCAAGUCUUUGCUGUUGUGAACAGUGCUGCCAUAAACAUACGUGUGCAGGUGUUUUUUAUCGUAGAAUGAUUUAUAAUACUUUGGGUAUAUGCCCAGUAAUGAGAUUGCUGGGUCAAAUGGUAUUUCUAGUUCUAGAUCCUUGAGGAAUCACCACACUGUCUUCCACAAUGGUUGAACUAAUUUACACUCCCAUCAACGAUGUAAAGCAUUCCUAUUUUUCCACAACCUCUCCAACAUCUGUUGUUUCCUGACUUUUUAAUGAUCGCCAUUCUAACUGGCAUGAGAUGGUAUCUUAAGACUCAGAGGUGUUCCUCUCCAUGGAAAUCUUUAGUAAAAGGUGAAAGAUUUAUAUGAUCUGAAGAGAAGCCAGAGUAUAAUUUUCUACUAUUUUCAAUACAAAGAUGUGUUUUCAUUACAAUUAGAGGAAUAUAGGCUUCUGUGAGCUAGCCUGGAAGCAAACAUAAUCAUUAUUGUUCAUUGUUUCUGUGAGAAAAUGUAAUGCUGUUUCUAAAUAUUGACCUAACAAUAAACUCUGAGGAAUUCAUGAUUGUAACUGGAUGGAAACUGGCUUUCUUCAUUUGAAAUAAAUUAAUUGAACAAGAUAAAAAAAAUCCAGAG
rnacentral:lncRNA from 1 species